UGCAUAUUCCAAAAAGCGGAGGAAAAGAAACCAACAGGGAUUGCCUCAGUAACGGCGAGUGAAGCGGCAACAGCUCAAAUUUGAAAUCUGGCCUCUUGGGGUCCGAGUUGUAAUUUGUAGAGGAUGUUUCGGGUACCGCCUCGGUUUAAAUUUCUUGGAACAGAAUGUCAAAGAGGGUGAGAAUCCCGUCUUGGACCGGCGGUAGGGCCUAUGUGAAACUCCUUCGACGAGUCGAGUUGUUUGGGAAUGCAGCUCAAAAUGGGUGGUAAAUUUCAUCUAAAGCUAAAUAUUGGCCAGAGACCGAUAGCGCACAAGUAGAGUGAUCGAAAGAUGAAAAGCACUUUGAAAAGAGAGUUAAACAGUAUGUGAAAUUGUUGAAAGGGAAGCGCUUGCAACCAGACUUGAGCGCGGCGGUUCCCCCUUGCUUCUGCUUGGGUUACUCCGCCGUGUCCAGGCCAACAUCGGUUCUGGGGGUCGGUCAAAGGCUCUGGGAAUGUAUCUACCCACGGGUAGACUUAUAGACCAGGGUGUCAUGCGACCUCCCGGGACCGAGGAACGCGCUUCGGCUCGGAUGUUGGCGUAAUGGUUGUCAGCGACCCGUCUUGACCCAACGGACC
rnacentral:rRNA from 1 species